UUGAUCCUGGCUCAGGAUGAACGCUGGCGGUAUGCUUAACACAUGCAAGUCGAACGGUCUUUUAGGAGACAGUGGCGGACGGGUGAGUAACGCGUAAGAAUCUACCUUCAGGUUGGGGACAACCACUGGAAACGGUGGCUAAUACCGAAUGUGCCGAGAGGUGAAAGGCUUGCUGCCUGAAGAAGAGCUUGCGUCUGAUUAGCUAGUUGGUAGUGUAAGAGACUACCAAGGCGACGAUCAGUAGCUGGUCUGAGAGGAUGAUCAGCCACACUGGGACUGAGACACGGCCCAGACUCCUACGGGAGGCAGCAGUGGGGAAUUUUCCGCAAUGGGCGAAAGCCUGACGGAGCAAUACCGCGUGAGGGAGGAAGGCUCUUGGGUUGUAAACCUCUUUUCUCAGGGAAGAACAGGAUGACGGUACCUGAGGAAUAAGCAUCGGCUAACUCCGUGCCAGCAGCCGCGGUAAUACGGAGGAUGCAAGCGUUAUCCGGAAUGAUUGGGCGUAAAGGGUCCGCAGGUGGCAUUGUAAGUCUGCUGUUAAAGAGUUUGGCUCAACCAAGUAAGAGCAGUGGAAACUACAAAGCUAGAGUGUGGUCGGGGCAGAGGGAAUUCCUGGUGUAGCGGUGAAAUGCGUAGAUAUCAGGAAGAACACCAGUGGCGAAGGCGCUCUGCUAGGCCGAGACUGACACUGAGGGACGAAAGCUAGGGGAGCGAAUGGGAUUAGAUACCCCAGUAGUCCUAGCCGUAAACGAUGGAUACUAGGCGUAGCUCGUAUCGACCCGAGCUGUGCCGGAGCUAACGCGUUAAGUAUCCCGCCUGGGGAGUACGCAGGCAACUGUGAAACUCAAAGGAAUUGACGGGGGCCCGCACAAGCGGUGGAGUAUGUGGUUUAAUUCGAUGCAACGCGAAGAACCUUACCAAGGCUUGACAUGUCACGAAUCCUAUUGAAAGAUGGGAGUGCCUUCGGGAGCGUGAACACAGGUGGUGCAUGGCUGUCGUCAGCUCGUGUCGUGAGAUGUUGGGUUAAGUCCCGCAACGAGCGCAACCCUCGUUUUUAGUUGCCAGCAUUAGGUUGGGCACUCUAGAGAGACUGCCGGUGACAAACCGGAGGAAGGUGGGGAUGACGUCAAGUCAGCAUGCCCCUUACGUCUUGGGCUACACACGUACUACAAUGCUACGGACAAAGGGCAGCUACACAGCGAUGUGAUGCGAAUCUCGUAAACCGUAGCUCAGUUCAGAUCGAAGGCUGCAACUCGCCUUCGUGAAGGAGGAAUCGCUAGUAAUUGCAGGUCAGCAUACUGCAGUGAAUUCGUUCCCGGGCCUUGUACACACCGCCCGUCACACCAUGGAAGUUGGUCACGCCCGAAGUCGUUACCCCAACCUAUUGGAGGGGGAUGCCUAAGGUAGGACU
rnacentral:rRNA from 1 species